UAAACGUAAUAUUUUGUUUGGUACUUGA
rnacentral:sRNA from 1 species